UUCUUUUUGGAGAGUUUGAUCCUGGCUCAGGACGAACGCUGGCGGCGUGCCUAAUACAUGCAAGUCGAGCG
rnacentral:rRNA from 1 species